rnacentral:rRNA from 1 species
GACCGAGGGGGCAAGCGUUGUCCGGAAUUACUGGGCGUACAGGGCACGCAGGUGGCUGCAUAGGUGGCGUGUGAAAGCCCCGCGCUUAACGCGGGGAGGCCACGCCAAACGGUGCGGCUCGAGCGAUGCAGAGGGUGGUGGAAUUGCCGGUGUAGUGGUGAAAUGCGUAGAGAUCGGCAGGAACACCAAGGACGAAGGUACCCACCUGGGCAUCAGCUGACACUCAUGUGCGACAGCGUGGGGAGCGAACCGG